rnacentral:rRNA from 1 species
CCGACGGUGAGAGAUGAAAGCUGGGGGAGCAAACCGGAUUAGAUACCCGGGUAGUCCCAGCUGUAAACGAUGCGCGUUAGGUGUGUCAGUGACCACGUGUCACUGAUGUGCCGAAGGGAAACCGUGAAACGCGCCGCCUGGGGAGUACGGUCGCAAGGCUGUAACUUAAAGGAAUUGGCGGGGGAGCACCACAACGGGUGGAGCCUGCGGUUUAAUCGGACUCAACGCCGGAAAUCUCACCGGAUAA